rnacentral:rRNA from 1 species
GUGACCUCAAAUCAGGUAGGACUACCCGCUGAACUUAAGCAUAUCAAUAAGCGGAGGAAAAGAAACUAACAAGGAUUCCCCUAGUAACUGCGAGUGAAGCGGGAAAAGCUCAAAUUUAAAAUCUGGCAGUCUUUGGCUGUCCGAGUUGUAAUCUAGAGAAGUGCUAUCCGCGCUGGACCGUGUACAAGUCUCCUGGAAUGGAGCGUCAUAGAGGGUGAGAAUCCCGUCUUUGACACGGACUGCCAGGGCUUUGUGAUACGCUCUCAAAGAGUCGGGUUGUUUGGGAAUGCAGCUCAAAAUGGGUGGUAAAUUCCAUCUAAAGCUAAAUAUUGGCGAGAGACCGAUAGCGAACAAGUACCGUGAGGGAAAGAUGAAAAGAACUUUGGAAAGAGAGUUAAACAGUACGUGAAAUUGCUGAAAGGGAAACGCUUGAAGUCAGUCGCGUUGACCAGGGAUCAACCUUGCUGUUGCUUGGUGCACUUUCUGGUUGACGGGUCAGCAUCAAUUUUGACUAUUGGAAAAAGAUUAGGGGAAUGUGACAUCUUUGGAUGUGUUAUAGCCCUUGGUUGCAUACAAUGGUUGGGAUUGAGGAACUCAGCACGCCGCAAGGCCGGGUUA